rnacentral:rRNA from 1 species
CCUACGGGAGGCUGCAGUGGGGAAUAUUGGACAAUGGGCGAAAGCCUGAUCCAGCCAUGCCGCGUGUGUGAAGAAGGCCUUCGGGUUGUAAAGCACUUUCAGUGGGAAGAAAGCCUUGGGGCUAAUACCCUCGAGGAAGGACAUCACCCACAGAAGAAGCACCGGCUAACUCCGUGCCAGCAGCCGCGGUAAUACGGAGGGUGCGAGCGUUAAUCGGAAUUACUGGGCGUAAAGCGCGCGUAGGCGGUCUGAUAAGCCGGUUGUGAAAGCCCCGGGCUCAACCUGGGAACGGCAUCCGGAACUGUCAGGCUAGAGUGCAGGAGAGGAAGGUAGAAUUCCCGGUGUAGCGGUGAAAUGCGUAGAGAUCGGGAGGAAUACCAGUGGCGAAGGCGGCCUUCUGGACUGACACUGACGCUGAGGUGCGAAAGCGUGGGUAGCAAACAGGAUUAGAUACCCGAGUAGUC